rnacentral:rRNA from 1 species
GCGCGAAAACUCUACAAUGCAGGCAACUGCGAUAGGGGAACAUCGAGUGAUCCUCAUAUUGGGGGUCUGUCCACCCGUCUAAAAAACGGGUGUUAGCAAGGGCCGGGCAAGACCGGUGCCAGCCGCCGCGGUAAUACCGGCGGCUCGAGUGGUGGCCGAUAUUAUUGAGUCUAAAGGGUCCGUAGCCGGCUUUGCAAGUCUCUCGGGAAAUCCAGCGGCUUAACCGUUGGUCGUCCGGGGGGUACUACAUUGCUUGGGACUGGGAGAGGUAGGAGGUACUCAGGGGGUAAGAGUGAAAUCCUGUAAUCCUUUGGGGACCACCGGUGGCGAAGGCGUCCUACCAGAACAGGUCCGACGGUGAGGGACGAAAGCUAGGGGCACGAACCGGAUUAGGCACCCGGGUAGUCCUAGCCGUAAACGAUGCUCGCUAGGUGUCACAACAGUCGUGAACUGUUGUGGUGCCGUAGGGAAGCCGUGAAGCGAGCCACUUGGGAAGUACGACCGCAAGGUUGAAACUUAAAGGAAUUGGCGGGGGAGCAC